AGAAAAAAAGAAAAAAGCUAUUUGAGACCAGUAUCAAUAAGGCUUAGGCUUAGUUUGGUAUUGAGGUCUAUCUAACGCUAUUCAAUAAAAUGAAGUUGUGAAACAAGCAUAUAGGGAUAUGCUUCUGCGUUCUCCAGUGGGAUCGCAGAAAAUAUAGCGUAACCGACUCAUCGCGAUAUGCGCAAUAUUUCGUACGGAGCACGUAACGCAAUCUCCCCGCAAUCCCAAACGAAGCCUUAAUUAAUUAUUUAAUUACACUCUAUUGCACUGUAACUUUAUUUUAUUUUUUUAAU
rnacentral:lncRNA from 1 species